CACGUAGGCGGGCUGUCAAGUCGGCCGUGAAAGGCACGGGCUCAACCUGUGCAUGUCGGUCGAUACUGGCGGUCUGGGGUAUGGGAGAGGGAACUGGAAUUCCCGGUGUAGCAGUGAAAUGCGUAGAUAUCGGGAGGAACACCAGUGGCGAAGGCGGGUUCCUGGCCCAUGACUGACGCUGAGGUGCGAAAGCCGGGGGAGCGAACG
rnacentral:rRNA from 1 species